rnacentral:rRNA from 1 species
UAGGCCUACGGGGCGCAGCAGUGGGGAAUAUUGCACAAUGGGGGAAACCCUGAUGCAGCGACGCCGCGUGAGUGAAGAAGUAUCUCGGUACGUAAAGCUCUAUCAGCAGGGAAGAAAAUGACGGUACCUGACUAAGAAGCCCCGGCUAACUACGUGCCAGCAGCCGCGGUAAUACGUAGGGGGCAAGCGUUAUCCGGAUUUACUGGGUGUAAAGGGAGCGUAGGGGGCAUGGUAAGCCAGAAGUGAAAACCGGG